GACGAAGGUGACGACCGUUGCUCGGAAUCACUGGGCAUAAAGCGCGCGUAGGUGGCUUGGUAAGUCCAUGGUGAAAUCCCUCGGCUCAACCGAGGAAGUGCCGUGGAUACUGCCGAGCUUGAGGACGGGAGGGGUGAGUGGAACUCUCGGUGUAGCGGUGAAAUGCGUAGAUAUAGAGAGGAACGCCGGUGGCGAAAGCGACUCACUGGACCGUAUCUGACACUGAGGCGCGAAAGCUAGGGGAGCAAACAGG
rnacentral:rRNA from 1 species